ensembl:lncRNA
UUAUUAAUAUCAACAUACAUCUGAGGAGAAAUGAAAUUGUCUCUGACAUGUUUGUUGGCUGUACUUUUCAAACCAAUAUUUAUGGAACGUUUAUGUCUCAUAAGAGAAGCCGACACACACCUCAUAACCUAACUGAUUUUAUUCCUGGUAUUGUGUUAACAACUACAUUAGCAUCACCAUCAUUACAUGAUUCUUCAGCUGAUUGCCAGGAUGAGGAGUUUGUGGAAGAGGAAGUUUCUGUUGCACCCCUAGAUAAAUGCAGAAUUUAAGCGCAUUACCACCAUGCCCCUGCAAUCCAGAUUUCUGUCACAGCUGGAUGUACGAUCUGACAAACUUCUAAAGCUGUUCGAAAAACGAGGAGGACAGAUAGGCAAGCGUCUUGAGAGAACUUUGGCCCCCAUGACUCAAGACGAUGACGUUGACGCAGGGCGGGAAUGUGUUCUCAAGUGGCUGUGUGUGUACCUCAACGAAGACCCAGCAAAUCUUGUCAGG